rnacentral:lncRNA from 1 species
GAAAAUUAGAGGCACAUAUUGGUGAAGAAGCUUAGGAUUUUUUGAAAUACCUGAAAUUCAGAAACAUAAUUAUGAAUACACAUAUUACUAGAAAAUUUCAAUGCAGGUUAAAGGUAGUGACAGGCAAAUGCUGUGUUUAAAUAAAAAAUUGAUCUUACUCUUUUGGUAUUUAUUUUGAUGACUUUAAAAUUGCCAGAGGGUUCAACAGACAUCCCUAAUCAUUUCCAUCCAACUUCUAGCUAUUCCCAAAGCCUUAUCCACCCAGAAAUACAAUCAUUAAGGUUUACUGGGCUGAAGUGUGGGAGGGAAUGUAAGUGUCUGCUGUAUACAUUUAUGAGGUAAUGAAUUUUUUUAAAAGAUUAAAAGUUUAAGGUUUUUUUGUUUAGAUUGUUUGAAAACAUCCACUCUCCUAAUGUAAGUACCUCUGUGGAUAUAGCCAUAUCAAAAUAGUUAUGACAAAAUUUCAGGUAUUUCUAUUGGAAUAUAGGACAGUGGACAGGGAAGAGUUAAAUCAGCUGGCCUACUCUAUUUAUUCACACUAUUCAUGUCCUAUCGUGGGGAUGGUGUUGGGGUAUAGACCUGGGGGAACUAAAAGCAGACAGGCAACCCGGGUAACUUUGUCAGUAUGCUAACCAGACUUUCUAGUAAAUAGAUUAAUAAUAUUUGCUAGAACAUCCUUAUCUAUGGGAUCUUCUUAACAAGAUAUCUCUGUUUAAGGAUUGCCAGUAUGUCACAUAAACUGGGAUAUAAAAUGGACGUGUUUCAUAAAUGGAACAUCCUCACCGUGAGGAAUAAUCUUUAAAUAACUUUAUUACUGUGGGCCGCAGAGCACUUGUCUGAUGUCAAAAAGGAAGAUGUGGGAACCAUUCUCAAAACUCCAGGCCUCUAUUUAUUUCCAUUUGAGCCUCUUGAUUGCCUAUAUCUUUAACUUGAUUAGUAAAAUCUGUUAAUGGGCAAGAUCCUUGAUUCAUUUGAGUUUGAAAUGAUAAUGUGUUCCUUUAUGUUUUCUCAGGCAUCUCUGUGAGUCUGUGGUUUCAGAAAAGACUUUUUGUAAGAGCUAAGUCUGAAAGCCUUAGCUCAGUUUGCUUAGUCAAGAAGGGUGCAGCUGGAUAAAAAGAACAUGAACAAAAUUUUUAAAAAAGCCCAAAUAAUGGAACAACAAAAAAACUGUGAAGGAUAGUGUCAUUGGGAGUGACAAGAGGACAACUUCUAGAAUUAUUGCUGCAAAGAUCCGGUUAUCCUCACAGGGAGUGAGUGAAAAAAAGUGGGAAGAAACUAACUUAAUUCUAAGAAAUGAGAGGAUUACAGAUCCCAGAAGAUAAUCAAGUGCUUCAAGACAGUUGAUUAAGCCAAAUUAUAUGUGGUAGAGAAAGAUUUGUGGAGCAGUUUCAGAAUAUAUACACAUGUCUGUCUGUUGAAUGUAUUCCUUCCUCUUACAGGAAGGAAUUCCUUCCAGGGUCAUUGUAUGUGAUAAAGAUCACUUGUAAAUGAAAACUUUGGAGGUUACAGAAGAAGUAAAUGUCAGAAAUGAAGGAAAAUAAUAGCAGGUAAAGGAAAGAAAGGGAGGAAUCGCAGAAAUGAGAAAAACUGAAAAGGGAAGAAAGCAGAGACCACUAAUUAGAAGUCGAGCAUCUUGGAGGAUGAAAUUAUGCCAUAAUUUUCUUCCCUUGGUCGUUUUUGAUGUCUUGAGGGGAUCCUAUCAGCAGGAGAUACAGAGAGACUCCUACUGACAUCAGCCUUCAUGCACACAUAUGAAAGGAGAAACCAUGUAGCUGAUCCAGCCUGGAGACCAUCGAUGACAGCCUGGAUGAUGGACACAGAUUUCAGAAAAGGAGAGAAGCCAAAAACGUUCACUUGAGAGUGUCAUUUGAAGAGGUAAGCCUCCUCAAUUGACAUAUGUGCCCAAACAUUUAGCUGCAUUAUUUUCUGAAGAGCCAGCAGACCAUUCUGGUGACACACUCUUUGCCUUAUUGUUUGCUACAUAAAAACCUGAAUGGAACUAAAUUAUAAACUAGGGCUAUAGAAUAAAUGCAGCAAUGAUGGCUUGAAUGGCUAAAACCUGAGAUGUCACUCUCAAUGAAAGGCAGUGUUUAUUCCACAGCUCAGAGUCACCAAUAGCAUGAGAUACUAAGAAAAUGAAAUAAACCCUAAGUUAGUAAAUUACAAGAAGUCAUUCUCAAAGUCCAUGUCUUGUCUGUCCUUUUGAUCAUAAGGUCAUUAUGAGAUACAAAUACUAACAUAUUUAAAAUUUAAUAAAAAAGAUUUUAAAAUGUAGUUCUCAAGAGUGGUCAGCAACCUUAAAAUUGGGGGCUGCAAACACAUUCCACUGGCAAAGGAUUAUGCAAGAUAAAUUGUUGAACUUUAAAAGACUAAUAAAUUAUAUUGCAGUUAAUUUUAUUAUCUUUUAAUCAACAAUGAAGUGGAUGCACUAUGUUUAAGUUUUUCAAGGAUUUUGAAUAGAAAAUUGUGUUUUCUGGUCAACUCCCAUCACCAAUAUUCUGGACACGAAAUUUGUUCCAUAUAAGAAAGUAGAAGAGAUGGUUCUGCUGUGCAGACACCUUAAAAAAUCCAGAAAUGUGGCAGAGGUGGUGGCCACCACUUGCUCCUCUUUUCUCGAUUUUCUGAGCUGGACUUUUAUUGAAGGAUAUAGGGAAAUUUGAAAAGAAAAUACUGCUUCUAAUCCUGCAGUCAUCUUCUGCUUUGGCUCUUGAGGGUUCGUUAUUCUGGAAGCUGGAAUGACAUUCAGUAGUGUACUCUGAAAAAUGGGAGGAGUUAAUGCGGUUUUUUAAGGUAUGAUUAUGGUCUCCACUUUCCUGUCUAAUUUUCUGUAGGGUAAUUCAACCUGUAUUUCCCCAUCUCUUAAUGAGAAUGAAUAGCUACACAGUCUGUUUCAGGGGCUUUAAUUGUUUCCUAGACAUUGCGGAUCUUUUCUAAUAGUGCUUGUGAUGCUUGAGACAAAGUCCCCAUUCUUGAAUGGUUUCUGCCAAUCCGACUUUGUGAAUAAACUCUAAUGACAAUAUUUUUGAGAAAACCAUCGUAAGAAUGCCAUCAAUGUCUUGGAAGUGAAUUAUAGGCUAUAGGAGAGCCCUGCGGGGAGGGAGGGAGCAGGGAGCCUGCAGCAGUACUGACCAAAUCUUUCAUGUUCCUAACUAUGAUGAAACAAAGUUGUUGCUUUUUUUUCAAAUUGCCCUAGUUAAAAGCAGUGAACAAACUACUCAAUCUUCACCCCAUGACAAUUUUCUUGUCUCUGUAUGGAACCAGCGUUCAUUUCCAUCAUCUGGCCUAAUAGUUUGAGGCAUUUUCCUUAGUAACAUGUCUAUUCUCUCCUUUAUCAUUUGCCUUAUGGUGACCAGAGCCUUCUAC